UGGAGAACCUGAUACAUGGUCAGUCU
rnacentral:piRNA from 1 species